rnacentral:rRNA from 12 species
CUGGGGGACACGAACAGGUGGGGAGUUUGGCUGGGGCGGC